AACCUUGCGCAGUGGCAAUAUCCUAACCAAUGAAGGCCUCCUGAGGUGCGAUUAUUGCUAGUUGAAAACUAUUGUGGUACUGGGUUCGAUUUCCGGCCUCUAGGCCUUGGAUUUUGUUUAAUGGUUAAUAUGAGAAAUUUACAGUAA
rnacentral:snRNA from 1 species